GCGCCUGUAGCCCAGCUGGAUAGAGCGCCGGACUUCGAAUCCGUAGGCCGCAGGUUCGACUCCUGCCAGGCGCG
rnacentral:tRNA from 1 species